AUUGAACGCUGGCGGAAUGCUUUACACAUGCAAGUCGAACGGCAGCACGGACUUCGGUCUGGUGGCAAGUGGCGAACGGGUGAGUAAUGUAUCGGAACGUGCCCAGUCGUGGGGGAUAACGUAGUGAAAAUUACGCUAAUACCGCAUACGAUCUAUGGAUGAAAGCGGGGGAUCGCAAGACCUCGCGCGAUUGGAGCGGCCGAUAUCAGAUUAGGUAGUUGGUGGGGUAAAGGCCCACCAAGCCAACGAUCUGUAGCUGGUCUGAGAGGACGACCAGCCACACUGGAACUGAGACACGGUCCAGACUCCUACGGGAGGCAGCAGUCGGGAAUUUGGGACAGUGGGCGAAAGCCUGAUCCAGCCAAGCCGCGUGCAGGAUGAAGGCCCUCGGGUUGUAAACUGCUUUUGUACGGAACGAAAAGGUUUCUACUAAUACUAGGAGCUCAUGACGGUACUGUAAGAAUAAGCACCGGCUAACUACGUGCCAGCCGCCGCCGUAA
rnacentral:rRNA from 1 species